CUUGCUUUGACUUGGUAUAACCAAGGCCUGGAUUGUGGAGUUGUGGGUGGCUCAGUGUUACUGCUACCAUGUUCCUGUACAACUUGACCUUGCAGCGAGCCACUGGCAUCAGCUUUGCCAUUCAUGGCAACUUCUCUGGAACCAAACAACAGGAAAUUGUUGUUUCCCGGGGAAAGAUCUUGGAGCUGCUUCGCCCUGACCCCAACACCGGCAAAGUACACACUCUACUAACUGUGGAAGUAUUUGGUGUCAUCCGGUCACUCAUGGCCUUUAGGUUGACAGGUGGCACAAAAGACUACAUUGUGGUUGGUAGUGACUCAGGUCGGAUUGUUAUUCUGGAAUACCAGCCAUCUAAGAAUAUGUUUGAGAAAAUUCACCAAGAAACCUUUGGCAAGAGUGGAUGCCGCCGCAUUGUUCCUGGCCAGUUCUUAGCUGUGGAUCCCAAAGGGCGAGCUGUUAUGAUUAGCGCCAUUGAGAAACAGAAAUUGGUGUAUAUCUUGAACAGAGAUGCUGCAGCCCGGCUUACCAUUUCAUCUCCACUGGAGGCCCACAAAGCGAACACUUUAGUGUAUCAUGUGGUCGGAGUAGAUGUGGGAUUUGAAAAUCCAAUGUUUGCUUGUCUGGAAAUGGAUUAUGAGGAAGCAGACAAUGAUCCAACUGGGGAAGCAGCGGCUAAUACCCAGCAGACACUUACUUUCUAUGAGUUAGACCUUGGUUUAAAUCAUGUGGUCCGAAAAUACAGUGAACCUUUGGAGGAACAUGGAAACUUCCUUAUUACAGUUCCGGGGGGGUCAGAUGGUCCAAGUGGAGUGCUGAUUUGCUCUGAAAACUACAUCACCUAUAAGAACUUUGGUGACCAACCAGAUAUCCGCUGUCCAAUUCCCAGGAGACGGAAUGACCUGGAUGACCCUGAAAGAGGAAUGAUUUUUGUCUGCUCUGCCACCCAUAAGACGAAGUCAAUGUUCUUCUUUUUGGCCCAAACUGAGCAGGGAGAUAUCUUUAAGAUCACUUUGGAGACAGAUGAAGAUAUGGUUACCGAGAUCCGGCUCAAGUAUUUUGAUACUGUGCCUGUUGCUGCUGCCAUGUGUGUGCUUAAAACAGGCUUCCUUUUCGUAGCAUCAGAAUUUGGAAACCAUUACUUAUAUCAAAUUGCACAUCUUGGAGAUGAUGAUGAAGAACCUGAGUUUUCAUCUGCCAUGCCUCUGGAAGAAGGAGAUACAUUCUUUUUUCAGCCAAGACCACUCAAAAACCUUGUGCUGGUUGAUGAGUUGGACAGCCUCUCUCCCAUUUUGUUUUGCCAGAUAGCUGACCUGGCCAAUGAAGACACUCCACAGCUAUAUGUGGCCUGUGGUAGGGGACCGAGGUCAUCUCUGAGGGUCUUAAGGCAUGGACUUGAGGUAUCAGAAAUGGCUGUCUCAGAGCUACCCGGUAACCCCAAUGCUGUCUGGACAGUGCGUCGGCACAUUGAAGAUGAGUUUGAUGCUUACAUCAUUGUGUCUUUCGUGAAUGCCACACUUGUGUUGUCCAUUGGAGAGACUGUAGAAGAAGUGACUGACUCUGGGUUUCUGGGCACUACCCCAACCUUGUCCUGCUCCUUGUUAGGAGAUGAUGCCUUAGUGCAGGUGUAUCCUGAUGGCAUUCGGCACAUACGAGCAGACAAGAGAGUCAAUGAGUGGAAGACUCCUGGAAAGAAAACAAUUGUGAAAUGUGCAGUGAACCAACGACAAGUGGUGAUCGCCCUGACAGGAGGAGAACUGGUCUAUUUUGAAAUGGAUCCCUCAGGACAGCUGAAUGAAUACACAGAACGGAAGGAGAUGUCAGCAGAUGUGGUGUGCAUGAGUCUGGCCAACGUCCCCCCUGGAGAGCAGCGGUCUCGCUUCCUGGCUGUGGGGCUGGUGGACAAUACUGUCAGAAUCAUCUCCCUGGAUCCCUCAGACUGUUUGCAACCUUUGAGCAUGCAGGCUCUCCCAGCCCAGCCUGAGUCCUUGUGUAUUGUGGAAAUGGGUGGGACUGAGAAGCAGGAUGAGCUGGGUGAGAGGGGCUCUAUUGGCUUCUUAUACCUGAAUAUUGGGCUACAGAAUGGUGUGUUGCUGAGAACAGUCCUGGACCCUGUCACUGGGGAUCUGUCUGACACCCGCACUAGGUACCUGGGAUCCCGUCCUGUGAAACUCUUUCGUGUCCGGAUGCAAGGCCAGGAGGCAGUGUUGGCCAUGUCAAGCCGCUCAUGGUUGAGCUAUUCUUACCAAUCUCGUUUCCAUCUCACCCCCCUGUCUUACGAGACCCUGGAAUUUGCAUCUGGCUUCGCCUCUGAACAGUGCCCUGAGGGCAUUGUGGCCAUCUCCACCAAUACCCUGAGGAUUUUGGCAUUGGAGAAGCUGGGUGCUGUCUUCAAUCAAGUAGCCUUUCCACUGCAGUACACACCCAGGAAAUUUGUCAUCCACCCUGAAAGUAACAACCUUAUCAUCAUUGAGACUGAUCAUAAUGCCUACACUGAGGCCACAAAAGCUCAGAGGAAGCAGCAGAUGGCAGAGGAAAUGGUAGAAGCAGCAGGGGAGGAUGAGCGAGAGCUGGCUGCGGAGAUGGCAGCAGCAUUCCUCAAUGAAAACCUCCCUGAGUCCAUUUUUGGAGCUCCUAAGGCUGGCAAUGGACAGUGGGCCUCUGUGAUCCGAGUGAUGAAUCCUAUUCAGGGGAACACACUGGACCUUGUCCAGCUGGAACAGAAUGAAGCUGCUUUUAGUGUGGCUGUGUGCAGGUUCUCCAACACUGGCGAUGAUUGGUAUGUGCUGGUGGGUGUGGCCAAAGACCUGAUACUGAAUCCCCGAUCUGUAGCCGGGGGCUUUGUCUAUACCUACAAGCUCGUGAACAAUGGGGAAAAACUGGAGUUUUUGCACAAGACUCCAGUGGAAGAGGUCCCUGCUGCCAUUGCCCCAUUCCAGGGGAGGGUGUUGAUUGGUGUGGGGAAGCUUCUGCGAGUCUAUGACCUGGGAAAGAAGAAGUUACUCCGAAAGUGUGAGAACAAGCAUAUCGCCAAUUACAUCUCUGGGAUCCAGACAAUUGGACAUAGGGUAAUUGUAUCUGAUGUCCAGGAAAGUUUCAUCUGGGUUCGCUACAAGCGUAAUGAGAACCAGCUUAUCAUCUUUGCUGAUGAUACCUACCCCCGAUGGGUCACAACAGCUAGCCUCCUGGACUACGAUACUGUGGCUGGGGCAGACAAGUUUGGCAACAUUUGUGUCGUGAGGCUCCCACCUAACACCAAUGAUGAAGUGGAUGAGGAUCCCACUGGAAACAAAGCCCUGUGGGACCGGGGUUUGCUCAACGGGGCCUCUCAGAAGGCAGAAGUGAUCAUGAACUACCACGUGGGCGAGACAGUACUUUCGUUACAGAAGACCACGCUGAUCCCUGGAGGCUCAGAAUCGCUUGUCUAUACCACCUUGUCAGGAGGAAUUGGCAUCCUUGUCCCGUUCACAUCCCAUGAGGACCAUGACUUCUUCCAGCAUGUGGAAAUGCACCUCCGGUCCGAGCAUCCCCCUCUCUGUGGGCGAGACCACCUCAGUUUUCGUUCCUAUUACUUCCCUGUUAAGAAUGUGAUUGAUGGAGAUCUCUGUGAGCAAUUCAACUCCAUGGAGCCCAACAAACAAAAGAAUGUCUCUGAGGAACUGGACCGAACCCCACCUGAGGUGUCCAAGAAGCUUGAGGACAUCCGGACUCGCUACGCCUUCUGAGCCCUUCCUUUUCCUAUGGGGCUUGUCAGAGACCUUAUUUUCCUCACCACCUGGUUCUGAAUUCAUGUGACAGAAGAAGGGUGGCUGUAUAAUUAAGACUUUGUAAUAUUAAAGCUAGUAGCUCUUCCCCAUCCACUCUUCCCCUGGAGUGACUGGUUUCCCCUAAAAUUGGCACUGAGAUUUGCUACACUUCUCCUUGCCUGGUACAUAAUACAUUGCCCCCAGGUUCCGGUGUGGAAUACAGUGUCCCUUUUCCCAGAGCUUUCUCGCAUUGAUAUUUUUGGCUCUGCUCUCUACUUUUGUAUACACCCUUAAUUUUUAACUGGUUAUUCUGUAAAUAUAGUUUUGUAUGAUGUUAUCUUUGUGGGAGGCGGGAGACAAGCUGAGAUGGGGACCAGGUUGGCUAUAGUACAACUCCGGAGUUCUGCCACCCUGGAACCUAACCAGAAAUACAAACCUAGCUUUUAAGGUGGCUGGUGUCCAUGUGUCUUUGCUGAGAAUCUAGGUGGGAGAUUGGAGCCCAAGUUGGAGCAGGAAGAGCUGAGUGUCCUCCUUCCAGUUACCAGCUUGGACUUCUGGCACCCUGUGGCCUCAUGCUCCCAGCUCUGUGAUGGUUUUUGGCUUUCUCUAGUCUUUUCUACUAUGCAGAUGAAACUUGGGCUUGAUAAUAAUUAUAUAGUCAUCCAUAUCUCUUCCCAUUGGAUAGUGAGGAAGGGUGGCUGGUUUCUUCUUCCCUGUUUUAGCUCCCUUCUACUUUGAAGCCUUAGAGUGAAGGAUUUGGCAUGAAUUCCAGCUGCCUAGUCUCUUAAUAGAUGCUCCUUUUACUUCCACAGCUCCUGAAAUGAUCAUUUGCCAUCUGUCUACUAGGAAGGAUCAGAGCUGAUGCUGCAACUGGAGAAAGGCGACUUCACAUAAAGCAAUCAGAAACAAGAUCCCAUCUGCCAAAUGCCAAGUAGGAGUGAAGUCCAUAGAACACUGGAUAUGAAGUCACAUGACCUGUGUUCACCAGUCUCUAAGCUUGGUCUCAGCUUCCUUUCUGUAAAAUGGGAGAAUAAGACCAACCUCUUGUUACUAGGGGACGUAGUAACAGCAAAGUGCUUUCCACUGAGCUUCCAGGGUGUCUGAGGAGGUGUGGCCACAGAACUUGGAUCCAAAAGCGCUGGGAGAACUGGAGCCACUUCCAUCUGGAAUUGCAGCCCUAUAUGCGAUGCUUUGAAAGAAAGGGGCAUCAUUCUAAGCCAAGAGGUCCCGGAGAGGGCACAGUGGAGUUUGUUCAGACUUCUGUGAGACCCCAGUGAUAUGCUGUGGCUGUACCCGCAUCACCUCCACCCCACUUGGCCUCCCAUGGGCUGCUUGACUACUAUGAAUCAGCUUGGUAGAAAUACAGCAAGGCCUUGCUGACGGUGUGGCCGGUGUAGUCACGGCCUUGGGCACAGGGGUGGGAAAUUAGCCAUAGUACAUUCCAGUGUGGGCAUUAUUGUCCUGCUGGCCAAACCAGGAAUCUGGUUUUGUCAGUCCAACUGAGAAACCAUUUCUUGGGAAACUUCUUGAACAACUACUUUUGCCAGGCAUUGACAUUCAGAAUAAGAUAUGCUAACAUCUAGGCCAGCAUUUCCCAAACCAGGUGCUGUGGAAUCCUAGAUGUUAAUAAGGGACUCCUUAGUAAAGGAUUCUGUGCUUACUUUCAGGGAAACACGCAAACUAUCUUGGGUAGUUUGAUGCUUUGAGCACAGCCCCUUCCCCUGUCCCUUGCUCUCUAUUUGUCUACUGGUGGGGGAUCUAAAGGAUUCCUUGAGGGAAUUGCCUGGCUGUCCAGUGGUUAGGACUCGGCGCUUUCACUGUCGUGGCCCGGGUUCAGUCCCUGGUCAGGGAACUAAGAUCCUGCAAGCCAUGCAGUGCAGCUGGAAAAAAAAAAAAAAAAAGGGUCCCUUGGGGAAUUGGCCCACCCCUAAAUAUUCCAAAUAUAGUCUAAGUACAUCAGGGAGCUUGUUAGAGAUGGAGCUCCCCCUUAAGUUCCCACAGAACUGUGCUAGCAGAACCAUUCUCAGCUCUCUGACGCAGGCAAAGUGAGAGUGUCCCUUGUCCUUGGAGAUCGGGUUGAGCAAAGGAUCUCUCUUUCAUGUCAUCAGGAACUCCCACAAGUGCUGUGCCAGAUCACAUAUUACACCAGGACAGGCCAAGUCAUGUAAGGAGGGAAGCCCUCUGGCUGUGUGAUCUUGGGUUAGAUACUUCAUCUCUCUGGGCUCAUGUCUCCAUCUGUAGACUGGGUAAUUGACUGGUCCUCAACACUGAUGAUAUUUAUCAAAGGCCUUUUCUCCAUCUAAUGUUUGUCCCCCUAUGUACACAUGCACUCCAGUCACUACCACAUCACCCAGUUUUAUUAAGUUUUGUAGAAGGGUUUUUGUUAGAGUAAACGUGUUCUGGAGAGGAGCUGGGGUAGCCCCUUAAAACGACCUAGCCUGCCUGGGAGCCAAGACUUGGUUCUGUGGACUCCCACCAUUAACUUGCCACCGUUAACUUGCCAGGCGCACUUGGUCAGAAGAGUUCCGGUCUGAUCGUCUGGGUUUGUGGCCCCCUCCUACUCCAUUCUCCAAGGCAGGCUGGGGCCACGUGGCCCUGCCCCGCCCUUGCUGGCUCCAGUUUCUGAGUCAGUUGCGGUGGCCUGCUUUCCCCGCCCUUCCCAUCAGUCGGGAAGCCUGGAUUGUGGGCUGGGGGAAGCCACAGCUUUUCCCACCUGGCACCCACUGCCCCCAGCUCCUAGGUACCUGUUCCAAGCCCUAGAAAACUGCAUCCUGGUAUGUGAACAGGUAAGAAAGGGGUCGAUUUUCUCUCACAUGGUUUUCUUUGCCUGACUUGACCACCCCAACUUAGCUGCUUCCUUCCUUCACAGAUCACAGCAAGAGGGAUUUGAGCUAGACUUGAAAAACACAGUCCCAGAAAGAAGCUCUUAAAUAUGUGUCAGAAAAGUGGUGUGAAUUCUCUGCUCUGGGUUUCUUUUUUAAACCUUUGCUUUCAUCAGCCUUGUAGGAAAAAAAAUCCAAAUAACCAUAAAGCAAGUUGCUUCUC